GAGGUAUAGGAUCUCGGGCUGUUCUUCAGGACUCCCACAUAAACACAUUCCCGUGUAUUCUGUCCAUGUUGCUUUCCCAGACCAGUGGCCAUUGCUGCCAGUUCAAGCCCUAACAGGUCACUGGGCUGAGGUGUCUGGGAGAGGGCUCAUUGCUAAACUAUUAUACAAAUUGGUUGUCUGAGAAGGCCAUGUGCCGUAAACUUUUAAAACACGUUAAAACUUUCAACAACGGAUCUCUUGGCUCUCGCAUCGAUGAAGAACGCAGCGAAAUGCGAUAAGUAAUGUGAAUUGCAGAAUUCAGUGAAUCAUCGAAUCUUUGAACGCACAUUGCGCCCUUUGGCAUUCCUUAGGGCAUGCCUGUUCGAGCGUCACUAACAACUACCUCACAUGAAAAUGUGGUAUUGGCCAAAGUGGAUCGUACUUGCACUGCAGGUCUCACUCAGCUGAAAUCAAUGGGCCAGAGAAGUGGACCAUAGCGACGGACUCUCAGAGUGUUUUUGAAACGCUAAACUAGUCUCUAGCAGGUUGAAAUCUGAGCCAAUUGGACCCCCAUUUUAGUCCAAAUAAGUGAUGUUGACCUCGGAUCAGGUAGGGAUACCCGCUGAACUUAAGCAUAUCAUAGUCGGAAGGAAAG
rnacentral:rRNA from 1 species